rnacentral:SRP_RNA from 1 species
AACCCCCCGUGUGGCGGCACCACGCUCAAUCCCCCAGGGCCGGAAGGCAGCAAGGGUCGGCGCGCUCUGCCGGGUACGCGGGGGGCCUCU